rnacentral:lncRNA from 1 species
UGAUGAGUGGGUGAAUUAGGAGUGAGUGAAUUAGAGACAGGGAGAAUUAAUGAGUGAGUUGAGUGAAUGCAUGAAUGAGUGAGUGAAUGAACGAAUGAGGGUAAAUUACUGAGUAAGUGAGCAAAUGGGUGGGUGAAUUAAUGAGUGAAUGGGUGGGUGAAUUAAUGAGUGAGUGAAUGAGUGAAUGUGUGGGUGGAUUAAUGAGUGAGCAAAUCGGGAGUCAGGGCAUGUGUGUUCGAGUGGUAUGAGGAGGCAUCUUCAUGUUCUUUCCACUGCUAGAAGCCCUAAGAAACAGAAGAUCCGACCAAGGGGUAAACACAGAAGAGAUGUGGAGGGCAGCUCCGGGAGGAGCCUCCAAGGGCUGAGCCCAGGCCUCUGCCACCUGCCUGGCACCUAUGGCAGGCCACAGGCAAAAAUAACAAUGCAUUUUUCCAUAGAUGACAUCUUAGAUUCAAUUAAAUAAGGUCUACGAUCAACCAAGAUCAACCACACCAUGCCACAGCCAUGACCCGUUAUAUCCAAGAGCUACUAGGUGGACACUGCAAAUGAAGAGCUAUUAGAUACAUGAAUCAUGACAUACCUGACUUACCAAAUGCACAAUCUGCAUGACUGCCUAGGAGGCACAUUCUAGAUUCACAUCCCACCACAUUAUAACCUACCCCAUAAGUAAAUCUAUCCACUCAUCACUGUAAAUUGCAUAAUCUAUUACAUACAUGAUUCAUUCCACCCUUAGCCAACGCCAAACAGUAUCUCCUAGAUACACAUUCCUCAUAUAAAUGACGCACCACCUAUAAGAUCUGCUGGCUCUGUGACCUCAGGCAAGCUAUUAUUUCUUUUGUUCUUGUUGUUCAUUGUUACUACAUAGUUUAUUUAAACCAAGCUAUGAUAAUACAGCUGCCCAGAAUCUUUGUGGAUUACAGAUGCAAAGUAACUGGAGACGUGUCCUUGCACCUAUAGUUCAGUAAUAGACAGAAAGUUUGUUACAUUUACUAAGUACAGAGAACUGAAUACACAUGACAUUGUACAUCCAUCUUUUUGCUUUGUAUUUCCAUUUUAAACAUAUGUAUGUUACAACUUUACAUUUUAAAUAUGACUCCAUGUAUUUUGUGACAAUGGCUAAGAACGCAAUGAUCCCAUGCCCCUGAAAUAAGCACACUUUGGUCUGCAAUGCAGAAUGUUUUCAUUGGGGUACCAAACAAACCCUUAACACAUAACAGACAAAAACUCCUUAAAAAUCAGAUUUAAUACAAUGUUCUUCAUGUUAGAUAAGGAGAAAGAACGGGAGGUGGAAAAGGAAAACAUUGGGGUACUUUAAAUGUACAGUGUCUUGAGACCUUGAAAGUUUCAGGCCAGGCACAGGGGCUCACACCUGUAAUCCUAGCAUCUUGGGAGGCCGAGGCAGGCAGAUCACCUGAGGUCAGGAGUUCAAGACCAGCCUGGCCAACAUGGAGAAACCCUGUCUCUACUAAAAAUACAAAAAUCAAAAAUUAGCUAGGCAUGGUGGCAUGCCCCUGCAGUCCAGGCUACUUGGGAGGCUGAGGCAGGAGAAUCACUUGAACCUGGGAGGUGGAAGCUGCAGUGAGCCGAGAUUGUUCCACUGCACCUGGGUGACAGAGCAAGACUCUGUCUAAAAAAAAAAAAAGAAUGUUUUCUUCAGGGGAUGAAGAGACGUUGGUUCAUGGGUACAAAAAUAAGUGAGAUAGAAGGAAUAAGAUCUAGUUCUUAUAGCACAGUAGAGCGAUUAUAGUUAACAAUCAUUUACUUUAUAUUUCAAAAUAGCCAGAAGAGAAGAUCUGAAAUGUACCCAACACAAAGAAAUGAUAAAUGUUUGAGGUGAUGGAUAUCCUAAAUACUUUGCAUGGUAUGCAUGUAUCAAAAUACAUGUGCUCCAUAUAUAUGUACAAUUAUUAUGUAUCAAUUAUAAAAAGUUUCAUUCCCUUCCUCCAAGGGAUUUUUUUUUUAACUAGUGGAAAAAAGAAAGCAACUUCAUAACGCCCUCCAGUGAGGAAGAACAUUAUCCUGACAAUGCUUAGGUGCUUUCAUAUGAGCACAUAAUAA